GGAAAUAAAGACUAACACAAGAGGGAGGGGCCCUGAGGAGGGGGUGUUGGUGGGAGCGGCGGGGCUGUGACGGGGACUCUUGGCCUUGAGUCCAGCUGGAUGGCUUGGCCUGGGUUUGCUUGAUUUGCCUUCUCUUAUCCAGCAGGCUGCAAGAUGUUGAUUGGGGAACGUAAUAUCCAUCUUCUCAGCUCACAGAACCGGGAGGUGGGGGUGGGGUAAGGGGGUGCACAUCCAGAGUGCUCUGGUCUGCCCUUCUUCCCUUUUGGGGGAUCAAGUCUGGAAUUAGGGUGCUCCCUCCUGCUCCAGUGACCCACUCCUGUCGCAAACUAAUCCUCCUUCCCCAUGGAUGACUCUUGGAUUGUUUCCUGGGCCAGCCGGAGGCAGAAUUGAGAACUGGGCACCUUCCUGCCUCACCUCUCAGCCUGCUGUCCGGCCUGGGCACCGAUUGGUGUCAAUAUUCCCAAGGGGCCUGAUGGAUGACGUUCCUGGCCAGUAGGUCCCCCAACUUCUCCGCCAGGGUCCAUUCUGCAGUGUCUCUCCUGAGGUUCGCAGGUUGACAGUGGCUAUGUGGAGAAGGCAAUGUCCGGAGACCAAGGAUGUUGGUUGACCUCUGGAGGAAACCUGCUCAUCAUUCUUGGGUCUGCAAGUGAACAGACUCCAAAAACUCAGUGGUCAUCUAUCCUGGAAUUCGAUUUCUUCCUCCUCAGCCAACUUCUGAUGCUCUGCCACUUCCUUUUCUGCAGGCUGCAAAAACCUCAUGGACCCUGGAGAGAGAUGCAUGAGUUUUCACUGCAUUGUGGAUGCCAGCAGCCCUUGGUGCUCCUUGGAGAUGAAAACCAGAAAGCUUCGCUUUCCUAUCAGCCCUUUCAAGCUGCCUCAGAGGAAACUCAUCUCACCGAGCGAGCAUCCCAAUUUCAAGAUGAAGUGUUUAAUUUACCUGAAGGGGUGGUCUUAGAUGACAUUCCCCUGGCCAGGGCGCUCACUUUGCACAUCCAUAAAAUGGGGCCUGCGAUACUGACCUCACGUGGUUGUUGUGUGAAGAAUAAAUGAGGACCAUAAAUUGGGAAAUC
rnacentral:lncRNA from 1 species